ACGGGUGAGGAAUGCGUCGGAAUCUGCCUUUUUGUGGGGGAUAACGUAGGGAAACUUACGCUAAUACCGCAUACGACCUACGGGUGAAAGUGGGGGACCGCAAGGCCUCACGCAGAAAGAUGAGCCGACGCCGGAUUAGCUAGUUGGCGGGGUAAAGGCCCACCAAGGCGACGAUCCGUAGCUGGUCUGAGAGGAUGAUCAGCCACACUGGAACUGAGACACGGUCCAGACUCCUACGGGAGGCAGCAGUGGGGAAUAUUGGACAAUGGGCGCAAGCCUGAUCCAGCCAUGCCGCGUGAGUGAAGAAGGCCUUCGGGUUGUAAAGCUCUUUUGUUGGGGAAGAAAAGCCUUCGAUUAAUACUCGGGGGUUCUGACGGUACCCAAAGAAUAAGCACCGGCUAACUUCGUGCCAGCAGCCGCGGUAAUACGAAGGGUGCAAGCGUUACUCGGAAUUACUGGGCGUAAAGCGUGCGUAGGUGGUUCGUUAAGUCUGAUGUGAAAGCCCUGGGCUCAACCUGGGAACUGCAUUGGAUACUGGCGAUCUGGAGUGCGGUAGAGGGUGGCGGAAUUCCCGGUGUAGCAGUGA
rnacentral:rRNA from 1 species